GCUCACCCCGUUUGUUUUAUUUUUUAUUCUUUAUUCUUGGGUCAAAUUUAGUAAUUCAAAUUUCACCCUUUUCCUGUCAACCGAUUAAUCUGAAAUUUUGUAUACACUUUGGAUUUUGGUGACAAUACAAUUAUGUUUAUUCAUUAUCAUUAUAAAUUCAAGAUGGCCGCCGCUACAAAAUGGCGGAUAAUUUAUGUUUUAUCAAUCCCGUCAAUAUGGGUAUCAAAUGA
rnacentral:misc_RNA from 1 species